AUGAACGCUGGCGGCGUGCCUAAUACAUGCAAGUCGAGCGAACGGACGAGAAGCUUGCUUCUCUGAUGUUAGCGGCGGACGGGUGAGUAACACGUGGAUAACCUACCUAUAAGACUGGGAUAACUUCGGGAAACCGGAGCUAAUACCGGAUAAUAUUUUGAACCGCAUGGUUCAAAAGUGAAAGACGGUCUUGCUGUCACUUAUAGAUGGAUCCGCGCUGCAUUAGCUAGUUGGUAAGGUAACGGCUUACCAAGGCAACGAUGCAUAGCCGACCUGAGAGGGUGAUCGGCCACACUGGAACUGAGACACGGUCCAGACUCCUACGGGAGGCAGCAGUAGGGAAUCUACCGCAAUGGGCGAAAGCCUGACGGAGCAACGCCGCGUGAGUGAUGAAGGUCUUCGGAUCGUAAAACUCUGUUAUUAGGGAAGAACAUAUGUGUAAGUAACUGUGCACAUCUUGACGGUACCUAAUCAGAAAGCCACGGCUAACUACGUG
rnacentral:rRNA from 1 species